CAGGAUUUGAAUCAUCACAAGAGAUUCACCAGAGGAUUUUAUACACUUGGGCUGUGGCAGCAGACUAAUUACAUCACAGCACUAGAGUCUUCACCAGCUCCGGAAAAGAAUAUUUUUAAUCACUGCAGUCGCUUAGGAUAACAGGGUUAUCUUUGGAAAUUCCUGCCCUCUCGUGUCCAGUAUAGAGAACUACUUUUGUGUUCUCUAAGGCUGUGAAUGUUAGCGGACAACCAGGAGCAUUUUAGGGCCUCAGCAGAAAGGAGACUGAACCAGUUCCAUGAAAACAUUCUCCUAUCUAAUAAAUCAAAAAAUCAUGACUGGCUUCCAUCAGUUCAGGAGUCUCCACACAAAUGUUUUGACAGUGGAACAAGAGACAGUCAAGGACAGUUUUAUCAGUGACAUCUACCUUCCAAUAGCAAAAACCAUCAACCGCACGGUAA
ensembl:lncRNA novel transcript, antisense STOM